rnacentral:tRNA from 1 species
UAGCUCAGUCAGUAGAGCAUGGGACUCUUAAUCUCAGGGUCGUGGGUUUGGGUCCCAU